rnacentral:lncRNA from 1 species
GGGCUUUGAAUGGAUGUAGCUGUGCUGUGGCCAUCAAUACGAGUCCUCAUUUUAUUGAGCGAUUCUAUUCUUAGCUCUGGGGUGGGGGAGGCAGACAGAGAGCCUGCUCCCCAUUCCAUUCCCCUCCUAGGACGGCAUUUAACAUGUUGCUCCUGCCAGCUGGCAGGCAGCCACACCGAUGGCCCUGUCAGCACCGGCAGUGGAGAAUGAGAAACUCAACCAUAAAAGCGUUUCCUGGACUCACCCACGACCGUGAGGUUGACUUGGGCCUGCCUGCUGCCCAGCUUGUUCUCCACCACCAGUGUGUAGCAGCCACAGUGCUCCUGCCGCGCGGCCAGGAUGGUGAGCUUGCUGCCGCUCUCGCCAUUCUCCACCUUGAUAUGCUCGCUCUCCUGGAUCUGCGGGUACAGAAAACUCCCCAAAACUACACUGGCUGUUGCAAUCCCCUCCAGAAGGAGCACCCCAAGCCCUAAGGCUUCCUUGCUAUGCCCUAUGUCUGAGCAAUGCCCUGGAAGUCGCUACAGUAAGACAGCUUCUGGACACACAGAGGUUCACU